rnacentral:lncRNA from 1 species
AUGAAUAGAUUUCCCUCAUAUUCUUGGGUUUCUCUCAUUCUUCUCCUUCCCUCUCUGUCGCCUCUUUACGGAUAUUCAAAGAUCUUCAAUCCAUCAAUUCGAAUCAAGAUUCUGUGAAGAACUUUUGAUUUUAAUUGGAAACUGUUAUCGGUUAUGGAGUAAUUGACGGUGAAAUCGGUGAAUACGAGAGGUUGAUUGGAAAGCGAUGCCGGAACUAGCGUCAGAUUGUAGGUUCAGUGACGGCGAUACGACAAGGUUUUAUAGAUCUGUAUCGUUGAGUAGAUUUUGGUCGAAGCAUCGCGA